GAGGGUAUAGCUAAGUGGUAGAGCCCAUGCUUGAUGUGCACGAGGCCCUGGGUUCAGUCCCCAGGGCCUCCC
rnacentral:tRNA from 1 species